AGACAAUUCCCCAUAAUGACAAAGUGAAAACAUGUUUUUAUCCACAAGUUUCCUGGGGAAACGAUUAUGGGUGGCAUUUCCUGCGGAAGUAGCGGUACUGAUUUAACCAGCUGUAUUUUGGUUUUUAGAAGCUAGGCAACUGGGAUAAGGAAUAAUAAGAUAUUCACUCGCUAGAUGUUGAAAUUGGAGUCCUUCGACCAUAAACCUAAAACUAAAUCAGAAUGUUCCUGUCACGAGAUGGUACAGUUUCCAUUGCUUCCCAAAUGACGACAAAGUGAAAAGAAAUUGGCUCAAAAACUUAAAAAAGUCCCCCCUCGUUUCGCUUUGUUGAUAAAACGCCAACGCAGGAUAACCCAUACUCAACGCUCUUUCUGGGUUAUGAGACGCCGCCUCAGCAGGAGGGUUGACAGACAUGUCACAAGAAUAGAUGAGCCUGGUGUGGUGGAGGUUUCUGAGGAGCGAGGUUCUAUUUCAAAGACCUUCCAUGAUACCCAAACACAGUGGUCAGACCCAGCAAUGGAGGGCCACACCUACUCCAAAGGACCUAUCAUCACAUGUGGCAUGACAACUGCACCAGCCGCUGAGAGGUCACUAUCUGUUGCAGAUGUUACAUUGAAAGAUGAUGCAGACUGUCUGCUGUACACAGGGAUUCCACUACAGAUGUUACAUUGAAAGAUGAUGCAGACUGUCUGCUGUACACAGGGUUUCCACUACAGAUGUUACAUUGAAAGAUGAUGCAGACUGUCUGCUGUAGACAGGGAUUCCACUACUAGAAUUCAACACUGUUGUGUCUUGCUUCCAAGGUUUUGCCCCCACAUCAUCAGCAAUGCCAGUUGUAGACCAAAUUCUGUUGACACUAAUGAAACUUAGAACUUUGUAAUAGCUGAUUAGGCAAGACACUUCAAAAGGUCACCCGUUCAGGUCAGUAAAACAUUGAAAUUCUGGAUAGAUGUUAUUGCUGAGCACACCAAGGAUCUCAUUCCAUGGCUGCCUCGUGAGACAAUAAAGGCUGCUAUGCCACAGGUUUUUCAGGAUAAUUUUUCAAACACAACUUGUGUUAUUGACUGCACAGAAAGUGUUUUGCAGAAGGCUAAAAUCUGGACUCAAGAAGUGAAUUCUACAGUCACUACUAUGCCAGUAAUACUGUAAAAUAUCUAGUAGCAACUGCUCCAUCAGGAAUGGUUGUGUUCAUUUCAGAGGCUAAUGGUGGGAAAUGUAGCGAUAGGUUCAUAACACAGAACUCAGGGUUUCUCCACCAUUUGCGUGCUGGAGAUGAGGUGAUGAGGAUCCGUGGCUUCACAAUUAGGGACUUGCUAGAGGAACGGAAUGUACGCUUGGUCUUACCAGCAUUUACACGCAAGAAAUGGCAGUUGACAAAUGAGCAGGUCACUCGCACACGACGCAUUGCUAAUGUCCGUAUUCAUGUGGAACGCGCAAUAAGGCGUCUUAAGGUGUACAAGAUUCUCUCACCAACUGCCUAUUAGUUUGGUCCCUAAAAUUGCCAACAUACUUAAAAUGUAUGCAGCUCUUGUAAAUCUGAGAGGAGAGCUUAUUUCUAGCAAAUAGAGACUAUUUCACAAUCAACAUGACUAACAUGCACUGAUUGUUUAUGUAUUACAAAAAUGUACAUCACUUUAUUCCCAUUAAUGAACUGCAAAACAUUGUCAGCAUUUGUAACAUUAUUUUAUUCCAACUGUUAGCUGUAUUUGUUUUAAAUCAUUGUUUUGUCAGCUCACACAACUGCUUGUACCAACUUGCCUAUUUUAACUGGUUCUGUCUUGUGAAAAAUUGACUUUGUCUUAUGAAAAAUAAACUGGUGAGAUCAUGA